GCCGAGGUAGCUCAGUCGGUAGAGCAGAGGACUGAAAAUCCUCGUGUCAGCGGUUCGAUUCCGUUCCUCGGCA
rnacentral:tRNA from 1 species